rnacentral:rRNA from 1 species
GCAAGUCGAGGGGCAGCAUUGUGUAGCAAUACACAGAUGGCGACCGGCGCACGGGUGAGUAACGCGUAUGCAACCUACCUUUAACAGGAGAAUAGCCCCGAGAAAUCGGGAUUAAUGCUCCAUAAUAUUAUUUUACUGCAUGGUAAAAUAAUUAAAGCUGAGGCGGUUAAAGAUGGGCAUGCGUGACAUUAGUUUGUUGGUGAGGUAACGGCUCACCAAGGCAACGAUGUCUAGGGGUUCUGAGAGGAUUAUC